rnacentral:rRNA from 2 species
AAAGAAGAACAUAUCUGAGAGUAACUGUUCAGGUAUUGACGGUAUUUAACCAGAAAGCCACGGCUAACUACGUGCCAGCAGCCGCGGUAAUACGUAGGUGGCAAGCGUUGUCCGGAUUUAUUGGGCGUAAAGCGAGCGCAGGCGGUUUUUUAAGUCUGAUGUGAAAGCCUUCGGCUCAACCGAAGAAGUGCAUCGGAAACUGGGAAACUUGAGUGCAGAAGAGGACAGUGGAACUCCAUGUGUAGCGGUGAAAUGCGUAGAUAUAUGGAAGAACACCAGUGGCGAAGGCGGCUGUCUGGUCUGUAACUGACGCUGAGGCUCGAAAGUAUGGGUAGCAAACAGGAUUAGAUACCCUGGUAGUCCAUACCGUAAACGAUGAAUGCUAAGUGUUGGAGGGUUUCCGCCCUUCAGUGCUGCAGCUAACGCAUUAAGCAUUCCGCCUGGGGAGUACGGCCGCAAGGCUGAAACUCAAAGGAAUUGACGGGGGCCCGCACAAGCGGUGGAGCAUGUGGUUUAAUUCGAAGCUACGCGAAGAACCUUACCAGGUCUUGACAUACUAUGCAAAUCUAAGAGAUUAGACGUUCCCUUCGGGGACAUGGAUACAGGUGGUGCAUGGUUGUCGUCAGCUCGUGUCGUGAGAUGUUGGGUUAAGUCCCGCAACGAGCGCAACCCUUAUUAUCAGUUGCCAGCAUUAAGUUGGGCACUCUGGUGAGACUGCCGGUGACAAACCGGAGGAAGGUGGGGAUGACGUCAAAUCAUCAUGCCCCUUAUGACCUGGGCUACACACGUGCUACAAUGGAUGGUACAACGAGUUGCGAACUCGCGAGAGUAAGCUAAUCUCUUAAAGCCAUUCUCAGUUCGGAUUGUAGGCUGCAACUCGCCUACAUGAAGUCGGAAUCGCUAGUAAUCGCGGAUCAGCAUGCCGCGGUGAAUACGUUCCCGGGCCUUGUACACACCGCCCGUCACACCAUGAGAGUUUGUAACACCCAAAGUCGGUGGGGU